rnacentral:rRNA from 1 species
GACGAACGCUGGCGGCGUGCUUAACACAUGCAAGUCGAACGGAAAGGCCCUGCUUUUGUGGGGUGCUCGAGUGGCGAACGGGUGAGUAACACGUGAGUAACCUGCCCUUGACUUUGGGAUAACUUCAGGAAACUGGGGCUAAUACCGGAUAGGAGCUCCUGCUGCAUGGUGGGGGUUGGAAAGUUUCGGCGGUUGGGGAUGGACUCGCGGCUUAUCAGCUUGUUGGUGGGGUAGUGGUUUACCAAGGCUUUGACGGGUAGCCGGCCUGAGAGGGUGACCGGCCACAUUGGGACUGAGAUACGGCCCAGACUCCUUCGGGAGGCAGCAGUGGGGAAUAUUGCACAAUGGGCGGAAGCCUGAUGCAGCAACGCCGCGUGCGGGAUGACGGCCUUCGGGUUGUAAACCGCUUUCGCCUGUGACGAAGCGUGAGUGACGGUAAUGGGUAAAGAAGCACCGGCUAACUACGUG